rnacentral:lncRNA from 1 species
UCAGAACCAGGUUCUCGAAUUUCAACACCGCCAGAUUUCCGACGACCGGUAUAUCCAGAUGACUUUCCUUUUUCUUUAUCCACAGCUUUGCCUUUCCCUUUAUCAAUGGCUUGUCCUUUCCCCUUUCCUUUUCUAGUAUCCUUUUCCUUAGCCAACACCUCUGGAGUAAAAGCCUCCCAGUCCGGUUCGUCCUCCUUAGAUUCAUCACCUGGGGCAUAUUCACUCCCUUCAUCCUCCGGUUGAUACUCAACUGGUCGUUUACCCGAGGAGCGCUGUCGUUUACUACCGCGACCACCCCCAGCCAUUA